rnacentral:lncRNA from 1 species
GAGCUGGGGCGUGCGCAGUCGGUGGCGCCGUUGCAGUCCAGCAUGCGGUUUUGGGGUAUGGUUCUCUGGGGAGAGUCAGGAACCUGGAUGGAGAAAGCGUCUAAGGUCCCUUUGCCCCUUGUUUAUGUGAACGGAGAGGACCGCAGCCUGUGACGGUUUCAGAAGCGUUUCAUUCGCGUGAAAGGAAACAAGCUCAAAGGCUGGAGGUUGAGCAUGGUUUCCCUAGCCCAACCCAGUGCACUUGACAGACUGUACGAAGAACAGUCAACAACAACAACAAAAAGAAAGUUCUCCAACGAAGCCUUAGGGUUUCCAGAGGACUCACAGAAACCGCUGGUGUAUACCCAUUCCCUUCUCGCUGUGAGCCUGUAGCUAUGGGAACUGCAGCCAAGUACACAAUAACACCUCCAUGAGCAAAUCCUCGGGGGAACAAAGUUCAUUUUAAUACAGCUGGCCUAACCACAGAAGAAUCUGGGGGACUCUCCAGGCUUGGCAGCGUUGUGCUGCUUCCUGGCUUCACGCUUCCUCUGGAGGAGGAGAGAGAGGAGCUACAGCAGGGCUCCCAGGCUGGCUUCGAACUCCUGAUGCUCAGGCCUCCAUCUCUUGAGUGCUGGGGUUACCGGACAGCACCGCCAGAUUGAGGAUGCGCCUGAGUUCCUGGCUCCGUGUCUUAUGCUGUUUCAGCAGGCACUCCACAGAGGCCCAGACCCCUCUGCUCCCCAUGGGCAGCUGCCAGGCAGGGCACAACUUGCAUCUCUGUCUGGCUCA